ensembl:lncRNA
GUGUGAGUGUGUGAUGUGAGAGUGUGCGUGGCUGUGGGUGUGUGUGAUACGUGAGUGUGUGUGGGUGUGGCUGUGAGUGUGGGUGUGUGAGAGUGUGUGUGAUGUGUGAGUGUGCGUGGGUGGGAGUGUGGGUGAUGGUGUGAGUGUGGAAGGGUGAGUGUGUGAGGGUGUGAAUGAGUGUGAGUGUGAGUCUCAGUGUGUGAUGGUGUGAGUGUGAGUGAGGGUGUGAGUGUGGGUGUGAGGGGGAGUGUAUGCGUGAGGGGGAGUUGAGUGUGAGUGUGGAAGGGUGAGUGUGCGAGGGUGUGAGUGUGAGUCUCAGUGAGUGAUGGUGUGAGUGUGAGCGUGGGUGUGAGAGUGUGUGUGAGGGGGAGUUCAGUGUGAGUGUGCAAGGGUGUGAGUGAGUGUGACUGUGUGUGUGAGUCUCAGUGAGUGAUGGUGUGUGUCAGUGUGAGUGUGUGUGAGUGUGAGUGUGUGUGUGUGAGGGUGUGAGUAUGGGGGUGUGAGUGUGUGUGUGUGCCUGAGGGUGUGAGUGUGUGUGUGUGUGUGAGUGUGAGUCUCAGUGUGUGAUGGUGUGAGUGUGUCAGUGUGUGUGAGUGUGUGAUGGUGUGAAUGUGUGUGAGUGUGAGUGUGUGACUGAGGGUGUAAAUUGUGUGUGACACUGCGAGUGUGUGUGUGUGAGUGUGUGUGAGUGUGAGAGUGUGCUGGUGUGAAUGUGUGUGUGUGUGUGAUGGUGAGUGUGAGUGUGUGCCUGAGGGUGUGAGUGUGUGUGUGUGUGUGUGAGUGUGAUUGAGAGUGUGAUGGUGUGAAUGUGUGUGUGUCAGUGUGAGUGUGGACUGAGGGUGUGUGUGUGUGAGUGUGACACUAAGAGUGUGUGAGUGUGUGUGAGUGUGUGUGUGUGUCUCAGUGUGUGAUGGUGUGAGUGUGUCAGUGUGUGUGAGUGAGUGUGUGUGUGUGAGUGUGACACUGCGAGUGUGUGAGUGUGAGUGUGAGUGUGGACUGAGGGUGUGUGUGUGAGUGUGACACUAAGAGUGUGUGAGUGUGUGUGUGUGUGUGUGACACUGUGUGAGUGUGAGUGUGUGUGUGAGUGUGGGGGUGUCAGUGUGAGUGUGUCACUGUGUGUGUGAGUGUGAGUGUCAGUGUGUGAUGGUGUGAGUGUGUCAGUGUGUGUGAGUGUGUGUGUGUGAGUGUGACACUGUGAGUGUGAGUGUGUGUGAGUGUCAGUGUGUGAUGGUGUGAGUGUGUCAGUGUGUGUGAGUGUGUGUGUGUGAGUGUGACACUGUGAGUGUGAGUGUGUGUGAGUGUCAGUGUGUGAUGGUGUGAGUGUGUGAGUGUGAGUGUGUGAGUGUGUCAUAUUGUGAGUGUGUCACGUGUGAGCGUGUUGGUGUGAGUGUGAGUGGCGCUGUGACGCUGAGUGUGCCCCCGCGUCACGUGGUGUCGUGACCUCUGACCUUUCCCCCCUCCCCUCCCCGCGCUGUCUCCGUGGGGGGGGGCGGAGCUGGGAAAAAAGAGGGGCGUGGCUUCUCCUGGCCACGCCCCCGAUCGCACCGCUUUCCCCGUUGCCACGGCAACAGCCGGCCAGGUGGUGCGUGACGUCACGGCGGC